AAUAGUUCCAAUUUUAUUGGUUGAUGUUAACUGCUCGGGAUAGGGAUGCCUGGCUCUCUAUUCCCUCAAUCUCUCUAUAUAUACGAUCGAGUCAUGAGUCGAUUGGUAGCAAAAUAUUUCUCAUCGACAACCAAGUGAUUGAGUGCUCGCCUAGCUAGUGUUGUAUCGAGUGGGGGUAUGGGCAAGCACACGAUUCACAUCCUUGCACUUGCAGCCCUAGUGUCUCUACAUCUCGUAUGCUCUGCCACUGUUGCUCAAUGUCGAACCAUGACUGGCACGGAUAGCAAGAAGAUCAAUCUACCAAACGGGCUAUGCAUUCAUGUAGUAGAUACCAAACUAUGCGGGGGCAAUAAUGGGUGCUUCCAUUGUUUGACAAAUGACAUCCUCUACCCCUCUUUGGAUGAUUGCAAGAGGGAGUGUUAGCACAUCCUCGUCUUCACAAGAAAUGCUAGUGGCCAUGACGAUGUCCCCUCCCCCUCCUUAAUUUUCCAGCCUAGUUAGUCAAAUUGGCUUACAUAUUUACAAGAUUGUCCCCAGAAAUAAUGCCUCAUGUGCGGAAAUCCAGUUAUGCAAUAAGAGUAAUGUUCUAGCA